GACGAACGCUGGCGGCGCGCCUAACACAUGCAAGUCGAACGGAGCUUAGAGAGCUUGCUUUUUAAGCUUAGUGGCGAACGGGUGAGUAACGCGUGAGUAACCUGCCCUAGAGUGGGGGACAACAGUUGGAAACGACUGCUAAUACCGCAUAAGCCCACGGUGCCGCAUGACACUGAGGGGAAAGGAUUUAUUCGCUUUAGGAUGGACUCGCGUCCAAUUAGCUAGUUGGUGAGGUAACGGCCCACCAAGGCGACGAUUGGUAGCCGGACUGAGAGGUUGAACGGCCACAUUGGGACUGAGACACGGCCCAGACUCCUACGGGAGGCAGCAGUGGGGGAUAUUGCACAAUGGGGGAAACCCUGAUGCAGCGACGCCGCGUGGAGGAAGAAGGGUUUCGGAUUGUUAACUCCUGUCGUUAGGGACGAUAAUGACGGUACCCUACAAGAAAGCACCGGCUAACUACGUGCCAGCAGCCGCGGUAAAACGUAGGGUGCAAGCGUUGCCGGGAUUACUGGGUGUAAAGGGAGCGCAGCGGGAAAACAGUUGGAAGUGAAAACCAUGGGCUCAACCCAGGAAUUGCUUUCAAACUGUUUUUCUUGAGUAGUGCGGAGGUAGAUGGAAUUCCCGGUGUAGCGGUGGAAUGCGUAGAUAUCGGGAGGAACACCAGUGGCGAAGGCGGUCUACUGGGCACCAACUGACGCUGAGGCUCGAAAGCAUGGGUAGCAAACAGGAUUAGAUACCCUGGUAGUCCAUGCCGUAAACGAUGAUUACUAGGUGUUGGGGGAUUGACCCCCUCAGUGCCGCAGUUAACACAAUAAGUAAUCCACCUGGGGAGUACGACCGCAAGGUUGAAACUCAAAGGAAUUGACGGGGGCCCGCACAAGCAGUGGAGUAUGUGGUUUAAUUCGAAGCAACGCGAAGAACCUUACCAGGUCUUGACAUCCGAUGCAUAGCACAGAGAUGUGUGAAAUCCUUCGGGACAUCGAGACAGGUGGUGCAUGGUUGUCGUCAGCUCGUGUCGUGAGAUGUUGGGUUAAGUCCCGCAACGAGCGCAACCCUUAUUGCCAGUUACUACGUUAAGAGGACUCUGGCGAGACUGCCGUUGACAAAACGGAGGAAGGUGGGGAUGACGUCAAAUCAUCAUGCCCUUUAUGACCUGGGCUACACACGUACUACAAUGGCGUUAAACAAAGAGAAGCAAGACCGCGAGGUGGAGCAGAACCCAAAAACAACGCCUCAGUUCAGAUUGCAGGCUGCAACUCGCCUGCAUGAAGUCGGAAUUGCUAGUAAUCGCGGAUCAGCAUGCCGCGGUGAAUACGUUACCCGGGCCUU
rnacentral:rRNA from 1 species